GGUGAGGCGCUCGAGGCUGCGGAACGUCGUGUUGUCCCGCGAGGCGGAGCCUCCCCUCCCGGCCGCGUUCCGGGCCACGGGGGAGCGCGGGGACGACCUGCUGUUCUCGGCGCCUCCCGAGUGGUGGAGCCUCUGCGCGGGGGACGGGCGCCCGCUGCCGCCACUGCUGCCGGAGACCCACCGGCGGUUCUGGUCACUGCAGUCCCCCGAAGAGGUCGGCCGGGUGGACGGAGCUGCGGGCAUUUUCGACGAGCUCCCUCCCCGGGACAAGAUGCGCGUUUUCUCUGAUGAGUCGGCAACCUGGCGAGAACAAUGGUCACAUUAGCGGGGUCACUCAGAAGAAAGGGAGCGACAAUAGUGGAAAUAUGAGACGAACUCCGGCGGGUAAGAUUUGCACAGAAUCUGUUUAAGACAAUGUUAGUUCAAACAGUGUCUGCAACAGCUACCAUGACAGGAUUACAAUGUUCGUGUUGGCAAAAAGAAGUACCUCUGCCGAGGGCAGCGUAAGGUUGAAUAUGGAAUGAAUAAACUCACCAGUUGAUCAGCAAGCAUAAGCACCGUUUUCAUAGAAAAUUUCCUGUUGCAGGAAUUAAACAAAUCUUCCAAGCUUGGGCCAAGAAGAUCGAUCACCAUAACAUUGUACUCCCCCUCAACACCAUACCACUUGAGGUGUGGGAUACCGUCUGUGUCAAAAAUGAGUGACUAAAUAAGCAACCAGAAGGCGUGGACACAAAUUACUGCAAAUAAUCAUAUAAAUUACAAUCGACUUACUUC